AAAUUCCGCCGGAAAUCUACUUUCCUUUUGAGUUUCCUGAACGUCAUCCUAAAAAAUUAUGGAAAGCAAAAAAUUAAGAGCAACAGAAUAUUAUGUAUACCACCUUGAUGAUCUUAUUGGUAAGGGGGCAACAUGCGAAGUGUAUAAAGGAAUUCAUAAGGGCACGGGAGAAAUUCAUGCCUUGAAGAUAUUUGAGCAUAGGUUACGUGGUGUUGCCCAGAGGGAGAUUGAAGCUUUGAAAUCGCUCAACCAUGACAAUAUUGUGGCUUUUAUGGGACAAGAAACCGAUAGAGAUACUGGCCGGGUUGUGGCUGUUAUGGAGUACUGUGAUAAAAGUCUCUAUAUGUCCCUGUGUGAGCCAGAGAACAGAUACGGGUUGACAGAGGAUGAAUUUAUUCGCUUUUUCAGACAUAUAGUUGAAGGAAUGAAGCAUUUAAGAGAGCAUGGAUUUCUUCACAGAGAUAUUAAGCCAGGAAAUAUUCUUAUUGUACAAGACCAAGAUGGGAGCAAUAUUUACAAGUUAUCAGAUUUUGGAACAGCAAAACCGGUGCUAGAAACAGAAGCAUUUCAGUCCCUUGUUGGAACAGAGGAAUAUCUUCAUCCAAAUAUAUUUCGAGCAGCUUUCAUAGACCAGGGUAUGUCUCGAGAAUUUGACGCUGCGGCUGACUUGUGGAGUCUGGGUGCUACGCUGUAUCAUUCUGUCACAGGCAGGGUUCCUUUCCUACCAUACCAGGGUAGAAACAAUAAAGCACUGAUGUUUCAGAUGAUUGCUCAGAAGGAGUUUGGAGUUAUAGCUGGUGAGCAGAGAACACAAAAUGGUGAUGUCAUAUGGACCAAGGAAUUACCUUCCACUUGUAAAAUGUCACGAUGGUUGAAGGAUGCGCUGACAGAGAUAUUGAAACGUCUACUUGAGGGUGAUCCAAACAAGGCCAUGACCUUUGACACGUUUUUCAUGGCAGCAGAUGACAUACUGAGUCGACAUAUAGUUUAUGUUUUCUCAACAACAUCAGCUAAACAUUUCAGACUUUACCUCCAAAAAGAUUGUGUUUUUUCUGAUGUACAACAAGAGAUAUAUACAGAGACGAACAUUCCACCGAGGGACCAGUUAAUAAAUUAUGAAGAGUGUUUGCUCAGGGAGAUCAUGUCAGAGACGGAUACUGUCAUUUUGUAUCCAAAGUUGAGUUUAGCCACACCUCUAGUUCUGGUAAGAUCAACAGCAGUCGAGCAGUGUAUCAUGCCUGAAGAGAAACAUUUCUGGUACAGUGAAACACUUCCUGUAUGUUCUCCGUCAUUCCCAGAGUCUGUGCGACAUCUCGAUGAGGACUACAGGAUAGCCAAGUCAAUCUGUGAUAGUAUAGCCCUGGUACAGUCAUACAUAGAGUUAGGCUGUCUUACUCAAGACCUCUUUGAGAAAACCAUCAACAGAACAGAACGCUGGAAAGAGGUGAUAGUGAGUAGAUUACAGACGGAAGUAGAUUUAUAUCGUGAUAGAGUGAAGGAUCUACGGCAUAUUCACAAGGCGAUCAUGGAGAACGGGGUUGUACAGUGUGUAACAACAACAGUUGGACUGUCUAUAGAAAAUCUUAAGUCACGGAUAAACAACUGCACAAUCUACAUGGACACCAUUAAGAACAUGAAAACAGACUGUGGGAUCAGAGUGUAUAUGAGUGGAUGUGUGGAUGGAAACAAAUGCCAAAAGAAGAUUUCUAGGUUAUUGGAACAAGCAAAGGAAAAGAGGAACAUCCUGGAAACGAGGAAAAAACAGCGGAGAUCAUUACAGUAUCAUGAAGAACAGUUACAGAGAUUUGACAGGAAACAGCUGACUGACCUGUACAAUACAGCUCUUAGUCUUUGGUCAACACAUUGUCAAGGAAAGUUGAAAGAAGUUCAUAAUCACUUCCUGAAUUGGCACAGCUCAUUUGCACAACUUCAAGCAAAGAUGGAAACAUUACAGAAAGAAAUUAAAACAACCAAAUCCACCAUCAAAAAGUAUAUGAGGAAUUUUAAGGUGAGCUCAGAGCCCACAUCACUGAUGAGUACCAGUUCAAGUAUGACCUGUGAGGCACCAGUCACCAUGGAGACAGAAGCUAAAAGAAGGUACCUAGCAUCUUCAUUGAUAAGUCAAUUGGAUGCAGUGAAGUCAGAACAGGAGGAGAUGAAGAGAAUGGUUAGUGAAAAUGAUGAACUUCAUACAAAGAGUAUGCAGAUGAUGACCCUGGAAGAUUUCUCCGAUUAUCCAACUCUUACAAGUACCGAGUCUGGACAGUCUACAGACUCUAAAUAGCCACUGUGAUUAUGACUUGGUAUGCAGGAAACAAUGUCACCAGUGUAACAGAAUGUUAAAUGUGAAUGUUAGAGAAUGGCAGCAGUGUAGCAUAAUAUUGGAUGAGAAUGUAACAAAAAUUUCAACAGUGUAACAAAAUGUUAGUAAUGAAUGUUAAAGAAUGUCAACAGUGUAACAUAAUAGUUUAGAAUGCAGCUGUAAUGUCAUAUGUGAAAAUGUCAUUUGUGAUAGCAACAAAAAUGUCAGUAGUGUCACAAAAUGUCACUUGUGACCAUUGCAAAAUUUAAACAAUGAUAUAUUCUGAACUUUUGGUACAGUAUAAACUUCAACGUAGAAGUAACAAAAUGUCGGCAGUGUAACAGACCGUAUAUUUGUGAUUGCUACAGAAAACAUGUCAACUCUAACAAAAUGGCUGUAAUAAGUUUUGCAGUGUCAACAUAGUGAAAUGUUGAAUAUGUGUGAACUAUUUGUACAGCUGUGUUGGCUGCAGUAAAAGUGCAGAAAUAUAUAUAGUGUGCCAUAAAAGAAGAAUGUAAUGCAGUUUAAAUACAUGUUGACUGUGGUGUGUGAACAUCUGAAGAAUGAUUUUUUAAAUUGUUCCAAUUGGUUCUUUUACAAGCAUUUACUAUGGUAUUCUACAUGUGUUUUAUAACUACCAGUAUACAAUAGGCUAAGUUUGUUGAGAAUAAAAGAUGCAAGUUGAAGUUGUGUUUUAAGGUACUUCUGCACAUUUGUAUAAAAUAGUUCUACAAUGUAGAAUUUUAUUCAACCCAGAAAUUUUAGGCAUCAUUAUCUACUUAGCGAAUUCUGCCAAUAAAAAUGUGCUUCAGUUUUGCUGGACAGAUUGAAAAGAAAAGUGAACUUCAGCAGCUUUCAUAACAGAAAACUGGGGGGAAAGCAGAAUUUUGCAUACAGAAAAAAAUCCUAAAUUUAGUGCAGAUUUAAAGGCAGUUGUGCAUGAAUGGAUCAAAACAGUAUUUACUACAAAGAAUAUUUUUCAGUAUUUCAGGAUGUUUUAGAAAAAAAUGGCCAGUAGGGAGUUAAAUUUUCAAAUUUGUUGAUAUAAUUUAGUUUACUUUUAUGUCAAAUUUUAUUUGUUGAAGUUACAUACUUCACAGUUUUUUAUUCCCUGCCGAUGAAAUCGGGAGGGGGGUAUUGAAAUGGCGUUGUCCAUCCGUCAGUCCGUCCACAGCCAUUUCUCAGUAACUACUUUGGUAGAAUUUCAUGAAACUUGAAAUAAACAUGAACCAACAUACUGCGAUGAUGCCCAUCAAGUUUUUUUUUUGAUUGGUCAAUUUCCCUCAGAGUUAUUGCCCUUGAUUUAAUAAAAAAUGUCCGUCUGUAGCCAUUUCUCAGUAACUAACAGGUAGAAUUUCAUCAGAUUUGAAAUAGACAUGAACCAAGAUACUGUGCUAAUGCCCGUCAAGUUUUUUCUUUUGAUAGGUCAAUUUCCGUCAGAGUUAUUGCCCUUGAUUUAUUGAAAAAUGUCCGUCUGCAGCCAUUUCUCAGUAACUAGCAGGUAGAAUUUCAUCAAACUUGAAACAGACAUGAUUUAAGAUACUGCGACGAUGCCCUUCAAGUUUUUUUUCGAUUGGUCAAUUUAUCCAUAUAGUUAUUGCCCUUUAAUUGUUUAAAAAUCCACAGAUCUGUACAUAACAAACCAACCAAUUGGAAGAAUUUCAUUAAACUUCUUUCAUUCUUUUCCAUGAACAUUUAUUAUAAACAUGUGAUGUUGUGUACCUACACCUGGUCACCACCUUACCUUGUUCCACCCCCGCCAUUUUUAUGCCCCCGAAGGGAGGCAUAUAGUUUUUGAACCGUCUGUCAGUCUGUCGGUCUGUCAGUCUGUCCGCAAUUUUCGUGUCCGGUCCAUAUCUUUGUCAUCGAUGGAUGGAUUUUCAAAUAACUUGGCAUGAAUGUGUACCACAGUAAGACGACGUGUCGCGCGCAAGACCCAGGUCCGUAGCUCAAAGGUCAAGGUCACACUUAGACAUUAAAGGAGAGUGCAUUGAUGGGCGUGUCCGGUCCAUAUCUUUGUCAUCAAUGGAUGGAUUUUCAAAUAACUUGGCAUGAAUGUGUACCACAGUAAGACGACGUGUCGCGCGCAAGACCCAGGUCCGUAGCUCAAAGGUCAAGGUCACACUUAGACAUUAAAGGAUAGUGCAUUGAUGGGCGUGUCCGGUCCAUAUCUUUGUCAUCGAUGGAUGGAUUUUCAAAUAACUUGGCAUGAAUGUGUACCACAGUAAGAUGACGUGUCGCCUGCAAGACCCAGGUCCGUAGCUCAAAGGUCAAGGUCACACUUAGACGUUAAAGGUCAUUUUUCAUGAUAGUGCAUUGAUGGGUGUGUCUGGUCCAUAUCUUUGUCAUUCAUGCAUGGAUUUUAAAAUAACUACGCAUGAAUGUGUGGCACAGUAAGACGACGUGUCGCGCGCAAGACCCAGCUCCGUAGGUCAAAGGUCCUAAACUCUAACAUCGGCCAUAACUACUCAUUCAAAGUGCCAUCGGGGGCAUAUGUCAUCCUAUGGAGACAGCUGUUGUUUUUUUUAGCUCACCUGUCACAAAGUGACAAGGUGAGCUUUUGUGAUCGCGGGGUGUCCGUCGUCCGUCCGUGCGUCCGUAAACUUUUGCUUGUGACCACUCUAGAGGUCACAUUUUUCAUGGGAUCUUUAUGAAAGUUGGUCAGAAUGUUCAUCUUGAUGAUAUCUAGGUCAAGUUCGAAACUGGGUCACGUGCCAUCAAAAACUAGGUCAGUAGGUCUAAAAAUAGAAAAACCUUGUGACCUCUCUAGAGGCCAUAUAUUUCACAAGAUCUUCAUGAAAAUUGGUCAGAAUGUUCACCUUGAUGAUAUCUAGGUCAAGUUUGAAACUGGGUCACGUGGGGUCAAAAACUAGGUCAGUAGGUCUAAAAAUAGAAAAACCUUGUGACCUCUCUAGAGGCCAUAUUUUUCAUGAGAUCUUCAUGAAUAUUGGUCAGAAUGUUUAUCUUGAUGAUAUCUAGGUCAAGUUCAAAACUGGGUCACGUAGGGUCAAAAACUAGGUCAUUAAGUCUAAAAAUAGAAAAACCUUGUGACCUCUCUAGAGGCCAUAUAUCUCAAUGCAUCUUCAUGAAAAUUGGUCAGAAUGUUCAUCUUGAUGAUAUCUAGGUCAAGUUCGAAACUGGGUCACGUGGGAUUAAAAACUAGGUCAGUAGAUCUAAAAAUAGAAAAACCUUGUGACCUCUCUAGAGGCCAUAUUUUUCAUGAGAUCUUCAUGAAUAUUGGUCAGAAUGUUCACCUUGAUGAUAUCUAGGUCAAGAUCGAAACUGGGUCAUGUGGGGUCAAAAACUAGGUCAGUAGAUCUAAAAAUAGAAAAACGUUGUGACCUCUCUAGUGGCCAUAUUUCUCAAUGGAUCUUCAUGAAAAUUGGUCAGAAUGUUCACCUUGAUGAUAUCUAGGUCGAGUUCGAAACUGGGUCAUGUUGGGUCAAAAACUAGGUCAGUAGGUCUAAAAAUAGGAAAACCUUGUGACCUCUCUAGAGGCGAUUUUUUUCAAUGGAUCUUCAUGAAAAUUGGUCAGAAUGUUCACCUUGAUGAUAUCUAGGUCAAGUUUGAAAGUGGGUCACGUGCCUUCAAAAACUAGGUCAGUAGGUCAAAUAAUAGAAAAACCUUGUGACCUCUCUAGAGGCUAUAUUUUUCAUGGGAUCUGUAUGAAAGUUGGUCUGAAUGUUCAUCUUGAUGAUAUCUAGGUCAAGUUCGAAAGUGGUCACGUGCCUUCAAAAACUAGGUCAGUAGGUCAAAUAAUAGAAAAACCUUGUGACCUCUCUAAAGGCCAUAUUUUAUAUGGGAUCUGUAUGAAAGUUGGUCUGAUAUCUUCACCUUGAUGAUAUCUAGGUCAAGUUCGAAACUGGGUCACGUGCCGUCAAAAACUAGGUCAGUAGGUCUAAAAAUAGAAAAACCUUGUGACCUCUCUAGAGGCCAUAUAUUUCACAAGAUCUUCAUGAAAAUUGGUCAGAAUGUUCAUCUUGAUGAUAUCUAGCUCAAGUUCGAAACAGGGUCAUGUGCGGUCAAAAACUAGGGCAGUUGGUCUAAAAAUAGAAAAACCUUGUGACAUCUCUAGAGGCCAUAUUUGUGAAUGGAUCUUCAUGAAAAUUGGUCAGAAUGUUCAUCUUGAUGAUAUCUAGGUCAAGUUCGAAACUGGGUCACGUGCCUUCAAAAAGUAGGUCAGUAGGUCAAAUAAUGAAAAAACGUUGUGACCUCUCUAGAGGCCAUAUUUUUCGUGGGAUCUGUAUGAAAGUUGGUCUGAAUGUUUAUCAACUGGGUCAUGUGGGAAGAGGUGAGCGAUUCAGGACCAUCAUGGUCCUCUUGUUUAAUUUUUCAUUUUCUAUCAAUAUUUAUAAUCAACAUGUAAACUGUUGUAUCCUCACCCCACCCCACCCAGCCCCACUCAAACUAACCAUUCAUUUUCUUUUAAUUUGAUUUUGACUAAUGAAAUUAUUUGCUUCUUGGUAACAUUCUUAACUUUUUGCUGGAUAUAUUUUUUUGCCGUUCCUCAACUCUGACCCUUUCGGCGGGGGAUUCCAAUUCAUCGAAUUUGCUUGUUUUUCCAUUAUCAGAGAUCCAUAGAAAAUAAGAUUCUUCAUAAUAGUGGAUAGAGUUGAUUACCAACUUAGACUUAGGCAGCCAUAUGGUGACUUUCCAGCUGUGAAGCUGUUAAUAAUAUUCGUGCUUUGUCAGAAGAAAAUGUAUACCUAACAUCUAUGUAGUAAAGAUCCCACUUAAUUUGCGCUAAUUAGUGUUAAUUGGCAUUCAUCUAGUUUCUGAUAUUAUCAACGCCUGGGUAAAUCAGAAGGAGUUUCCAUGUAACUACUGGUUAUCGAUUUUCAAUAAAAAGCCUAAUUAACAUGUGAUCAUAUUUGCACUUGUUUAAAGCGAAAUAUCGGCAGUUUUUGUAGAUCACUAGGUCUGCACAGUCACUAAUAUAAUAUCUUACAAUUUGAUAGCUAUGACGCACAUUUAAGUUAAUUCUGACAUAUUUAAAAACUGUUCCACAACUUGCUGGAAAAGCUGUAGGAGGUACAAAGUGGUAUUUAUCUUUGGCCCAGAAAUGUUCGGAAACCUUCGAAAGUUUAUGAUUCCGGUUUGUCUUUUCCGUGAGAAUUCCGUUUCUAUUUUAGCCAUGGAGUAUUGCUUUCAACUGUUAUUGUUCUUUAUCAUACACCCGUAUAUUUCGGUUUCCCCAGGCUGUCAAUUUGCAGGUAGUAAAAAAAGUAAGAAAUUGUCAGACUGGAUUCCCAGGCUAGGAUCCCAGGUGCUCUUCCAGACAUUAUUACAGGUAUGGCUGGGCACCUGGGUAGAAGUUUGGACCUUCUGUAUGUUAGCAGCAUUGUUUAAACUCUUGAUGAAAUUGAAAUCUGACUUUGCAUAGUAAUUUUAGCCUCAGAGUUCAGCUAUAUAUUUGUAGUUUUUCUGGAGUUUAUAAUUUUAUGAAGAUUUUAUACUUUGUGUAGUCAAGAAUUUUAUAAUUAUCAAAAAUAAAUCAUGAGAUAACAAAUUUAUUGAUGCUGAAUCCUACAAUCAUGUUUUCUUGUAAUCAGAAUUUAUUUUACAGUUUUAUGUUGUGUCGUUACAUAACUUAAAAUUUCAUUUUAAAUCAAGAUGAAAUAAAUACUGAUUUGGUUGAUUAAGAGUUAAAUGUUAUAUUUUAUAUUCAUAUAAAACAUAAAUAUUUUGUACACAUAGAGAGUAAUGUGUAGUGUCUGUCCUACCCUUUAUAAUGAUUUUUGCACUGUUAACUUAAAACAGCAUGACUUACCUUAAGUUUGUGUCAGUAUGUCUGUCUGUCUGGCUGGCUGGCUAUCUUCAGGGUCGAAAGAUACCAAUCAAGGUAACAAAAUAUGAAUUUCUAACCCUACCAUUCACUCUUAAGAAAUUGAUGACCAUGUCUUGAACUUUGACCAAAUUUAAAUGAUAAUAAACAGUUUGAAUUUUGGUACACUUCACCUUGUUUAUCAUACUUUUAUUUGUACUUUUAAGAUCUUUUCCCAAAAUAGUUUUUGGUGUAUUAAAUUAUUAUGUCUCCCACCACACAGUUGUGUGGGAGACAUAUUGAUUUGCUCCAGUCUGUGUGUCUGUCUGUCUGUGUGUCUGUCUGUCACAAAGCUUGUCCGCACUCUAAGUCGAACAUUUCUCAUCUGAUCUUCACCAAACUUCAACAAAAUGUGUCUGCCAAUAAGUGCUCGGCCAAGUACAAUAACUAGCCAAAUUGGCCUAGGCACUUUGGAAUUAUGGCCCUUGAUUUACCAAAAACACUCGGAUUUCUUUUGCAGUUUUACCCCUAAACCGGUGCCUAUACUACUAGAAGUAUAGGUGUCCUUUUGGUGUCAGGAAAGUGCAUGCACAUGUGGAUUAAGUAAACAGUAAAUAAAGACUGACUUACUAUUUAGAUGAUUAGGCAGUUGUGGGAGCCAUGCGCUUUUCUCAAAAGCAUCUCUAGUUUUUUUUUGUUUUCUAAGAAGCUUCAACUUUGUAAAUUUUAAUGUUUUGUUCUUUGAAAUUUCUGCUCAAAUAAUUUUUACUUAGUGCUUGUAAUUAAAUGUUUUAUUAUCUAGUAUGUGAAUGAUACGUUAUUAUUUUGAACAUGCUGUAUUUUUAGAUAUUUCCAGAAAUUGAUACUGAUUAGGUCAGUGUUUACAGUCUGGAUACUGAUACAUUUCAGAAUAAAAGACUAGAGAUAAAACAAUGUAAUUUAUGUUAAGCUGUUUUGAAGACAAGCAAUUUAGCAUGUAUCAAUUAUUUUAUACAAUGAGUGAUAUGGAAAAUCGGUAUUACAUUUUAAAGGUGGUCUCAUUUAAGCAACAUAUUUUUUGACAUUUUUCACUUGUUGUAUAUUCUGUUAGAGAUUUGUUUAAGGGACAAAAAGGUCCAUGAUUAUUGUUAGAAUGUAUUUAAUAAAAGUGUUUAAUUACCACCUUUUGAUAUGAAAAUAUUCAAAUA